rnacentral:lncRNA from 13 species
CUGUCGGCUCUACAAACACAUCCCUGUUCUCUUCCUGGGUUGGUUCUGUCUGUCUGUCUGUCUGCUCUACAAACACAUCCCUGUUCUCUUCCUGGGUUGGCUCUGUCUGUCUGUCUGUCUGUCAGCUCUACAAACACAUCUCUGUUCUCUUCCUGGGUUGGUUCUGUCUGUCUGUCUGUCGGCUCUACAAACACAUCCCUGUUGUUUGGGGCCACUGGCCGCUUCAAAGUGGAAAUUAUAAACUUCAGAAGCCUUUUAACCUCGAAAAGCUAACAAAUGGAAUUGUUUUAAGAUGGUCAUACCAUUAAUCAUUUAGCUAUUUUGAUUUAGAAUUGUAGGCCNNNNNNNNNNCAGGCUGUAGCUUUCUUUAUGCAGAGUCACAGAGGCUUGUCGUUAGAUAAGGACACGCCUUUACAGCUGGCAUGGCUUCUAUCACUGAUUCAAACUCAAACACAUCUCUGUUCUCUUCCUGGGUUGGUUCUGUCUGUCUGUCGGCUCUACAAACACAUCCCUGUUCUCUUCCUGGUGUCUGUCUGUCUGUCGGCUCUACAAACACAUCUCUGUUCUCUUCCUGGGUUGGUUCUGUCUGUCUGUCGGCUCUACAAACACAUCCCUGUUCUCUUCCUGGGUUGGUUCUGUCUGUCUGUCUGUCUGCUCUACAAACACAUCCCUGUUCUCUUCCUGGGUUGGCUCUGUCUGUCUGUCUGUCUGUCAGCUCUACAAACACAUCUCUGUUCUCUUCCUGGGUUGGUUCUGUCUGUCUGUCUGUCGGCUCUACAAACACAUCCCUGUUGUUUGGGGCCACUGGCCGCUUCAAAGUGGAAAUUAUAA